GCUGGUGUAGCUCAAUAGGUAGAGCACCCGGCUUGUACCCGGGUGGUUGCGGGUUCAAUUCCUGUCGCCAGCU
rnacentral:tRNA from 1 species